rnacentral:rRNA from 1 species
AUUGAACGCUGGCGGCAUGCCUUACACAUGCAAGUCGAACGGCAGCACGGGUGCUUGCACCUGGUGGCGAGUGGCGAACGGGUGAGUAAUGCAUCGGAACGUACCGUGUAAUGGGGGAUAACGUAGCGAAAGUUACGCUAAUACCGCAUACGACCUGAGGGUGAAAGCAGGGGAUCGCAAGACCUUGCGUUAUACGAGCGGCCGAUGUCAGAUUAGCUAGUUGGUGAGGUAAAGGCUAACCAAGGCGACGAUCUGUAGCGGGACUGAGAGGAUGAUCCGCCACACUGGGACUGAGACACGGCCCAGACUCAUACGGGAGGCAGCAGUGGGGAAUUUUGGACAAUGGGGGCAACCCUGAUCCAGCCAUGCCGCGUGAGUGAAGAAGGCCUUCGGGUUGUAAAGCUCUUUCGGCCGGGAAGAAAUCGCACAGGCUAAUACUCUGUGUGGAUGACGGUACCUGAAGAAUAAGCACCGGCUAACUACGUGCCAGCCGCCGCAGUAA